GACGAACGCUGGCGGCGUGCUUAACACAUGCAAGUCGAACGAAGAGCGAUGGAAGCUUGCUUCUAUCAAUCUUAGUGGCGAACGGGUGAGUAACGCGUAAUCAACCUGCCCUUCAGAGGGGAACAACAGUUGGAAACGACUGCUAAUACCGCAUACGAUCUAAUCUCGGCAUCGAGGAUAGAUGAAAGGUGGCCUCUACAUGUAAGCUAUCACUGAAGGAGGGGAUUGCGUCUGAUUAGCUAGUUGGAGGGGUAACGGCCCACCAAGGCGAUGAUCAGUAGCCGGUCUGAGAGGAUGAACGGCCACAUUGGGACUGAGACACGGCCCAGACUCCUACGGGAGGCAGCAGUGGGGAAUCUUCCGCAAUGGACGAAAGUCUGACGGAGCAACGCCGCGUGAGUGAUGACGGCCUUCGGGUUGUAAAGCUCUGUUAAUCGGGACGAAAGGCCUUCUUGCGAAUAGUGAGAAGGAUUGACGGUACCGGAAUAGAAAGCCACGGCUAACUACGUG
rnacentral:rRNA from 1 species